rnacentral:sRNA from 1 species
UCACCGGAGAAAGGAACUUGGGCCGGGUCCCCCAUUGGGGCGUUAGAGAGACCCGCGGCCCCUCCAGGGAGAGGGAGUGCUUCAGGAGCAGCAAACAAGAGAAAUGGGCUUCGGAGGCCCGGGGAGGCAAGGCCAAGGCCCAGGGAACCCCCGGCUCUUACUAGGGCGCUGCCCUCCUCUGGAAGGGCGUUGGAUCCGGGGUGCGAUGGCCGAGGCAGGUGGCCUGGCUUGACCCAGCUAUGGGGGGACUCUAAACAGUAGGUGCCUGGCCUGGAAUCCCGGGCGCCCAACAAAGUAACGAAUGCCCCUCCAAGGUGGGGCCGAGGGAGCCCCUGUUCCCCCGACCCCAGAGCCGCUGGGCUUCGGACAGCUUCCUCUCCAUCCGGGCGGGACACUUCGCCAGAGGCCUGGUCCCCUCAGGCUUUCCUGGCACACGCGGACUCUCCGGGCUGGGGCUCUGGGGUUCUGGCUCUCCCCGCUCGCCCCAUCGGGGUCAGCUACUUUUGAGUCGGGCCGAGCAGAUGUAUAUGGCUCAACGCUUUCAGCCGCCGAACACCCAAACAAAGAGACCCCAUUGUUUCUGUCUGAGUGGAUUUGUUUAGACUGGGGAGAUGCAGGCAGAGCAGGGGAAAAGCAAAAAAGAAAACAGAAAUAAACACUCCAGAAUUCAGAUUCCUUUGCUGGAAGCCGUGGUUGUGACUAAACAGAGAAAAUCUAGGACCCCAGAGACUGGAGAAGUCACAAGGGGGUGAGAAAAAUCCCUGCAGAACGCUGUUUGCCCACAGCCGCCCCAGGCUUUCCUAGCUCAGCUCCAAGAAGGCCCCAGUGGCCACCCAUCCUUCACCUGGGAGAGUCAGCCCUACUGACUCUGGCUGGAAGAGGGAAAGCUGCCCCUUACCUCAGACACGUCUGCGUCCGCGAAUCCCCUGCCAGCCUGGGCUUAAACCCAGGGUGCCCUCCUGGGCCUGGCUGCCGACCCAGGGCCCAGCCCUUCUGAUAGAAAGCCACCAAUAUGACCUGCAUUUCCUAGAGCCAAGGACGCUAAGUCACCCACAGAGGGGGCUGGCCAGCCCAGGGGCCCGUGGUCCUCGGCCUCCUAGGGGCGCUUUCUGGAGCUUCGUGGAGCCCAAGGUCACUCAGAAAAUUUAUUAAAGUGAGACACCUUGCCUAUUUCUGAUUCCAAAUGUUGAUCUAGAGUUGGCCAAAUUUUAAGCACAGCCAGCUUUAAGUUCAGAAGAGGAAUCUGCACCUGGCAAUCCAAAAGGGCAGGCAUAACCGCGCCAAAGACAGUGGAAUGUGUUCUGAGAAGUCCUCCUCGCUGGUCACGGGGAAAACCUGUUUGGUUUCUUUAAUUGGUUGUCUCUGCCCGUUGGAUGGCAUUUCCCAAAUGGUCCCUCCGGAGCCAGUGUUUUAAUUAAAGUUCUAAUGUAUUGUCAAGUUGGGAAUUCGGGGCCUUGUUUGACUAAAGCAGGGGGCGUGGGCCAUCCUCUAAAGCAAAUUGCCCAUCCCGGGGGACCUGAGCUCAUCCAGGCCUGGGGCUGGCCUCCUUUCUUUCCUUUGCUUUCUUUCUUUUAUUGUCCAACACUUGUCAGGCUCCUGGGAAAUCAAGGGAAGUCUCGUUUUGAGGUCAUAAAAUUCUCUGUGAUGUAACCGUGCGAAAUUAUGUAAAUAAAGCCGGGCAGGCCUCCUCAAACACACAGAGAACCGGAUCCUGCCUGCGCCUCUGCCUGUAAUUUGCGUAAUGAGAAUUGUCCUGA